rnacentral:rRNA from 1 species
UACGGAGGGUGCGAGCGUUGUCCGGAAUCACUGGGCGUAAAGGGCGCGUAGGCGGCCUUGCAAGUCGGUUGGUGAAAGCCCGGGGCUCAACCCCGGAGGUGCGGCCGAGACUGCAGGGCUGGAGGCCGGAAGAGGAGGGUGGAAUACCCAGUGUAGAGGUGAAAUUCGUAGAUAUUGGGUGGAACACCGGUGGCGAAAGCGGCUCUCUGGUCCGGACCUGACGCUGAGGCGCGAAAGCGUGGGGAGCAAACAGG